rnacentral:rRNA from 1 species
UGCAGUCGAGCGGAUGAAGAGAGCUUGCUCUCUGGAUUCAGCGGCGGACGGGUGAGUAACACGUGGGCAACCUGCCUGUAAGACUGGGAUAACUCCGGGAAACCGGGGCUAAUACCGGAUAACUUCUUUUCCCGCAUGGGGAGAGGUUGAAAGACGGUUAUGCUGUCACUUACAGAUGGGCCCGCGGCGCAUUAGCUAGUUGGUGGGGUAACGGCCUACCAAGGCGACGAUGCGUAGCCGACCUGAGAGGGUGAUCGGCCACACUGGGACUGAGACACGGCCCAGACUCCUACGGGAGGCAGCAGUAGGGAAUCUUCCGCAAUGGACGAAAGUCUGACGGAGCAACGCCGCGUGAGUGACGAAGGCCUUCGGGUCGUAAAACUCUGUUAUCAGGGAAGAACAAGCAUCGUUUAACUGACGGUGCCAUGACGGUACCUGACCAGAAAGCCACGGCUAACUACGUGCCAGCAGCCGCGGUAAUACGUAGGUGGCAAGCGUUGUCCGGAAUUAUUGGGCGUAAAGCGCGCGCAGGCGGCUUCUUAAGUCUGAUGUGAAAGCCCACGGCUCAACCGUGGAGGGUCAUUGGAAACUGGGAGGCUUGAGUGCAGAAGAGGAGAGCGGAAUUCCACGUGUAGCGGUGAAAUGCGUAGAGAUGUGGAGGAACACCAGUGGCGAAGGCGGCUCUCUGGUCUGUAACUGACGCUGAGGCGCGAAAGCGUGGGUAGCGAACAGGAUUAGAUACCCUGGUAGUCCACGCCGUAAACGAUGAGUGCUAAGUGUUAGGGGGUUUCCGCCCCUUAGUGCUGCAGCAAACGCAUUAAGCACUCCGCCUGGGGAGUACGGCCGCAAGGCUGAAACUCAAAGGAAUUGACGGGGGCCCGCACAAGCGG